GUGCCAGCAGCCGCGGUAAGACAGAGGGUGCAAACGUUGUUCGGAAUUACUGGGCGUAAAGCGUGUGUAGGCGGCCAUGCAAGUCGGAUGUGAAAGCCCCGGGCUCAACCCGGGAAGUGCACCCGAUACUGCUUGGCUUGAGUACCGGAGAGGUUGGUGGAAUUCUCGGUGUAGAGGUGAAAUUCGUAGAUAUCGAGAGGAACACCGGUGGCGAAGGCGGCCAACUGGACGGAUACUGACGCUGAGACACGAAAGCGUGGGGAGCAAACAGGAUUAGAAACCCUUGUAGUCC
rnacentral:rRNA from 1 species